rnacentral:rRNA from 1 species
UACGGAGGGGGCUAGCGUUGUUCGGAAUUACUGGGCGUAAAGAGCGUGUAGGCGGCCGUACAGGUCAGCUGUGAAAACUCGAGGCUCAACCUCGAGACGUCGGUUGAAACCGUACGGCUAGAGUCCGGAAGAGGAGAGUGGAAUUCCCGGUGUAGCGGUGAAAUGCGCAGAUAUCGGGAAGAACACCCGUGGCGAAGGCGGCUCUCUGGGACGGUACUGACGCUGAGACGCGAAAGCGUGGGGAGCGAACAGG